rnacentral:rRNA from 1 species
CCUACGGGGGGCAGCAGUGAGGAAUAUUGGUCAAUGGACGAGAGUCUGAACCAGCCAAGUAGCGUGAAGGAUGACUGCCCUAUGGGUUGUAAACUUCUUUUAUAUGGGAAUAAAACGUUCCACGUGUGGGAUUUUGUAUGUACCAUAUGAAUAAGGAUCGGCUAACUCCGUGCCAGCAGCCGCGGUAAUACGGAGGAUCCGAGCGUUAUCCGGAUUUAUUGGGUUUAACGGGAGCGUAGGUGGAUUGUUAAGUCAGUUGUGAAAGUUUGCGGAUCAACCGUAAAAUUGCAGUUGAAACGGGCAGUCUUGAGUACAGUAGAGGUGGGCGGAAUUCGUGGUGUAGCGGUGAAAUGCUUAGAUAUCACGAAGAACUCCGAUUGCGAAGGCAGUUCACUGGACUGCAACUGACACUGAGGCUCGAAAGUGUGGGUAUCAAACAGGAUUAGAUACCCCUGUAGUC